AAGUGGGGAUGACGUCAAGUCCUCAUGGCCUUUAUGCCCAGGGCUACACACGUGCUACAAUGGGUGGUACAAAGAGCAGCCAGCUCGCGAGAGUGAGCAAAUCUCAAAAAGCCAUCCUCAGUUCGGAUUGAAGUCUGCAACUCGACUUCAUGAAGUUGGAAUCGCUAGUAAUCGCGGAUCAGCAUGCCGCGGUGAAUACGCUCCCGGGCCUU
rnacentral:rRNA from 1 species